CCCGGGAUAGCCCAGGGAAACCUGGAUUAAUACCGGAUGAGACGGGACCCGCGAUGGCGGGACCCGGGAAAGGCGCUGCGGCGCCGCCGGGGAUGAGUCUGCGUCCCAUUAGCGUAGACGGCGGGGUAACGGCCCACCGUGGCGACGAUGGGUAGCCGGCCUGAGAGGGCGGACGGCCACAUUGGAACUGAGACACGGUCCAGACUCCUACGGGAGGCAGCAGCUAAGAAUCUUCCGCAAUGGGCGAAAGCCUGACGGAGCGACGCCGCGUGAACGAAGAAGGCCGUGAGGUUGUAAAGUUCUUUUCGGGAGGGGGGACAACCGUGGCAGGGAAUGGCCGCGGGAUGACGUGAAUCCCGGAAUAAGCCCCGGCUAACUACGUGCCAGCAGCAGC
rnacentral:rRNA from 1 species